CCGGGUCAGGCCGGUGGCCCGGCGGUGCGCGCGGUGGUCGGCGAGCCGCUCGGCGCGGAGGGAGUGGCCGCCCCCGGGCCCCCGCACCCCGCGCCCUCGGCCCCCCGGGCCCGCCCCUCGGCCGCGUCGCGUCAUGCCCGACGCCGCUCGGCGCUAGUGUCCGGGCCGCCGCCGCCCGCCCGCAGCCGCGCCCACUGUGCAGAGCCAGAGGGAUGGUGGCAGUCACGGGGCGGGAGCCAGACAGCCGUCGCGCGGACGGUGCCAUGUCCAGCUCCGACGCCGAGGACGACUUCGUGGAGCCGGCCACCCCGACGGCCACGCAGGCGGGGCACGCGCUGCCCCUGCUGCCCCAGGAGUUUCCUGAGGUUGUCCCCCUUAACAUUGGAGGGGCUCACUUCACCACACGCCUGUCUACCCUGCGGCGCUAUGAGGACACCAUGCUGGCGGCCAUGUUCAGCGGGCGGCAUUACAUCCCCACCGACGCCGAGGGCCGGUACUUCAUUGACCGGGAUGGCACGCACUUUGGAGAUGUGCUGAAUUUUCUGCGCUCGGGCGACCUGCCGCCCCGGGAACGUGUACGGGCUGUGUACAAAGAGGCCCAGUACUAUGCCAUCGGUCCCCUCCUGGAGCAGCUAGAGAACAUGCAGCCUCUGAAGGGGGAGAAAGUGCGCCAGGCGUUUCUGGGACUCAUGCCCUAUUACAAAGACCAUUUGGAGCGGAUCGUGGAGAUUGCCCGGCUGCGUGCGGUACAGCGGAAGGCCCGCUUUGCCAAGCUCAAGGUCUGUGUCUUCAAGGAGGAGAUGCCCAUCACCCCCUACGAGUGUCCGCUUCUCAACUCCCUGCGCUUCGAGCGGAGCGAGAGCGAUGGGCAGCUCUUUGAGCACCAUUGCGAGGUGGAUGUGUCUUUUGGGCCCUGGGAGGCUGUGGCUGAUGUUUAUGACCUACUGCACUGCCUGGUCACGGACCUCUCAGCCCAGGGCCUCGUCGUGGACCAUCAGUGCAUCGGGGUGUGUGACAAGCACCUCAUCAACCACUACUACUGCAAGCGUCCCAUCUAUGAGUUCAAGAUCACGUGGUGGAGUGUGCCCGCCCAGUCUAGGCACAGAGCUCUCCCCUCUCGUGUUGAGAGGUCUCCAGGGGAAGAAGAUACCACAGGUGCGCAGUCACUGUGUAGCUCCCAACCACGUCAGGUGGUUCCGAAAGGAAUCCCUUCUGUCAUUCACCACUUCUUUCAAGGGAGAGAGAAAUGGCUCUAAGCUUAUGUGGGCCUCAGUGGUUAAGACCGGUCCUUGAGGAAAAUGGACUUGAGUUGUCCUUCCUCUGGAAGCAGAGUUGGACACCUUCCUGGCUAAUGAGUGUCCUCAUCAAGAUGUCCCUUGGAGUCACUCCAUGAAUUAACCCGGAAAGAUGAAUAUCUACUUCUGAAGUCUAAAGGCAAGGAGAAACUGACAGUAUUACAAAAGCCAUAGAUCUGGGUUAUCUCUUACAUCCGAUGGCAGAGCUCUUCCCUCCCCCUCCAGACUGCCACCGUCCCCCAUAUACACACAGUAACAGUAAGUUCAGACUUAGGAACAAGGCAGUCCCAGUCCCGACUGCUGAGGACUUCUUCCUUCACACGCUUGUUCUUCCCGAGCAGUGACAUGAUCUAAAUAUCCUGGGAUUCCACCACCUCCAGCCACCUGGAAUUCAGUGGAAACGGGACUGUCGUGCACCAGGAAGAAGUCCGACUCAACUGCAGGGAAGACUUUGAACCGUCUUGAACCAUCCAGAAGUACUUCAUAGAAGGGACCCGUAAUUAGAUUGUGAUGUACCUUUUCUGCCCUUCUGUGAUUUCAGUGGCAACCUGAAUCACCCUUCCACAAACCAUGACUUUUAGAAGUUUCUCCUAAUGUAUUACAGACCCUGGGUUUUUUCCUGUGUCAUGUGAUCGUGGCAGGUGGCCUAGCUCCAGUAGAUCUUUUGAAUAGAUGGAUACAUACUUCUCCUUUAUUAAGGAAAAAUUAAGAAACAGAAACCCAAAGCACCACGAAACUUAAGAGCUUGAUCUCUAUUAAAAGAAAUUAAUCAGUUAAGAGUUGAAUUGAAAUCCUUAUACCUCUAUUAUGUUUGUAGGUGGGUUGGAUGGUAUCAUCAGGCUUAAGUCCUAAGAACGUGUAUCACCUUCUGUAAAUGCCAUUAGUGUGUUUAUUAGUGUGAGUUCCAGCAUUACAUCCUUGCCUUCAGCUCUGCCUCAGCUUGCACUGUCCUGAGGACCCAUCUGUCCAUGCACCCAUCUGUCGUGGGUGCCUACUGUCCCCACUCUUCCUGCGUCAUCACCACCCCCCACCCCCACUGCUUACGACUGCCCUGUCUUUGGCAUUUUAAAGCUGGUUUGCCACUUCUGGCCGUACCUCAUCCAGCAUUUGGUAGCCAGCCCUGGCGGUGAUGUUCCGUCCAGCAGUGUCUGCCGCUGCUUCUCAGGCAGGUAGGUGCUCUUUGCACCAAGGUCCCAGACUUUCCGUUUCAGCUUUCUCACCUGGCCUGCUAGGAUUUGAAGAGCAUUUUCAGCCCUUCUCUCUAAGUUCCGUGUCUACCGUGACUGCUUCCGCAAUGGCAGCAGAUUCUGGCAAGGCCCCACCAGACAGGUAAGUUAGCUUCACCCUCCUCUACCCUUGGAAGGGAUAAUCACCAUACUUUUCCCAGAAACUGCAUUCACCAAGAGCUUCCUAACAAAAAUAGGGACUUUCCUGGUCAGCUGACCACAUCACUGUUGGCCGAAAUGAGGAUGGUGUUAUUCACUUGGCACUCCCAGAAAGUCAAGGCAGCAUGUAUCUGCCUCCAGACAUAUUCAGGAAAUGUUCUACCCAACUGCCUGAUUGUAUACUUCCAAAUACAGCUCUGUCUGGAAAUUCGCGCUGGUUCAGAGAGGUAGGAUGUUGAGGAGUACUGUUUAUAGUCACCUACUGGAAUGUUCCACCACUUACACUGGCUGGGCGUUUAGACCGGAGGAUUCCGCAGACAUGGGGUUUACUGCCUGGUUUCGAACCCUGCCAGUGCUGUGUUCUGCUGGGAUGACAAUCCUGACCCCUUGAUGGUAGCAGCAGCCCUGGGAUAACCUGCAGUUGUGGAUUGAGAUCCAGAAGUGGGAUUUCCAGAAAGUUCAACCAAGGUAUCCUCAUGAUAAUGUAUAAGAAAGUGAUGUUUCGGGGGCGGGGGG